UAUUUUGCGGUUUGUUGUCGGAUGUCGAAAAUUUCCAGAAGGAUUAUAAAAUUGUGCGAAAAUUCUUGAAAAUGUUUUCAUGUAAAACUUUGAUAAUAAAACAUAAAAUUUGAAAGAUCUCAACAAAACUAGCUGAUAAAAUGGACGGAAAUAGAUUUAUUACCUCCUUGGCCAAGUUGAGACUUGAGAUCUCAGACAGAUUAUUUGUGAAAAUAGAACAUGGGGUUCACAGUUUCCAAUUCUAUGUGUUAGAAAAACAAGUUCAAAUUCGUUUCUGGUGUGAUCGCCAUAACGCAAGCCGGAUUACCGGCGCAUCUGGUAUGACAAGUAGGACAUCUGUAACGAAUAAAGCGACAUCGGUGGCAGAAUCUAGGCACUUUGUGACAAACGACU
rnacentral:lncRNA from 1 species